GACGAACGCUGGCGGCGUGCCUAAUACAUGCCAGUCGAACGCUGAAGCUUGGUGCUUGCACCGAGCGGAUGAGUUGCGAACGGGUGAGUAACGCGUAGGUAACCUGCCUGGUAGCGGGGGAUAACUAUUGGAAACGAUAGCUAAUACCGCAUAACAGUAGAUAUCGCAUGAUAGCUACUUGAAAGGUGCAAAUGCACCACUACCAGAUGGACCUGCGUUGUAUUAGCUAGUUGGUGAGGUAACGGCUCACCAAGGCAACGAUACAUAGCCGACCUGAGAGGGUGAUCGGCCACACUGGGACUGAGACACGGCCCAGACUCCUACGGGAGGCAGCAGUAGGGAAUCUUCGGCAAUGGACGGAAGUCUGACCGAGCAACGCCGCGUGAGUGAAGAAGGGUUUCGGAUCGUAAAGCUCUGUUGUAAGAGAAGAACGAGUGUGAGAGUGGAAAGUUCACACUGUGACGGUAGCUUACCAGAAAGGGACGGCUAACUACGUG
rnacentral:rRNA from 1 species